GCGCCCUGCGGGAGCAGCUGGAGCAGGCGCACCGGGAGAGGACCGGGCGGCUGCGGGCUCUCGGAGCCAGGAACACCCAGAACUUCCAGCAGCUACUGUGGCCCCCUGGCGCUGAGGAGCCUGGAGAGUAUCGCUCACCAUUCCCAGACUCCUCUAGUCACUGCUGAAUCCUCAAAGGGAUGAUUAAGAGAUGGGGGGUUAAGGAAAAAGCAAGAGGUCAGAGAGUUUCAGAACGGCCCAGAAAGCAGCCUCAGCGCCUGGGAGAGCCAGACAGACACACACGACAGCCUUGCCCCACCAAGAGGUGUGUUAUUUCUUUUUAUCCCCCCUCAGCCCACUACCUGGCCUAGGGUCAGAGGGCCAGGUCCUGGGGGUCAAGCAGUGCGAAGGCCCCAUUCUUGCGGAAGAAAGAUUCAAUGCGGCACAUCUUGCAGGAGACCAGUUCUUGCUUCACUGGGGGGCCUGGGAAAAGAUGUCAGAGACCAGGAAUGGGUUCCUGGGAAAGGAACUUGCAGAACAUGGGAGCCCUGCCUGCAUAACCCUAGGAAUCUGCCUGUGUUGUAUCCACUUUGUAAGUGUGAAUAAAUAAAAAGAAGUGCUUCUGAG